rnacentral:rRNA from 1 species
UAGGGAAUCUUCGGCAAUGGACGAAAGUCUGACCGAGCAACGCCGCGUGAGUGAAGAAGGUUUUCGGAUCGUAAAACUCUGUUGGUAGAGAAGAACGUUGGUGAGAGUGGAAAGCUCAUCAAGUGACGGUAACUACCCAGAAAGGGACGGCUAACUACGUGCCAGCAGCCGCGGUAAUACGUAGGUCCCGAGCGUUGUCCGGAUUUAUUGGGCGUAAAGCGAGCGCAGGUGGUUUAUUAAGUCUGGUGUAAAAGGCAGUGGCUCAACCAUUGUAUGCAUUGGAAACUGGUAGACUUGAGUGCAGGAGAGGAGAGUGGAAUUCCAUGUGUAGCGGUGAAAUGCGUAGAUAUAUGGAGGAACACCGGUGGCGAAAGCGGCUCUCUGGCCUGUAACUGACACUGAGGCUCGAAAGCGUGGGGGAGCAAACAGGAUUAG